rnacentral:rRNA from 1 species
GUGGGGAAUUUUGGACAAUGGGGGAAACCCUGAUCCAGCCAUCCCGCGUGUGCGAUGAAGGCCUUCGGGUUGUAAAGCACUUUUGGCAGGAAAGAAACGUCAUGGGCUAAUACCCCGUGAAACUGACGGUACCUGCAGAAUAAGCACCGGCUAACUACGUGCCAGCAGCCGCGGUAAUACGUAGGGUGCAAGCGUUAAUCGGAAUUACUGGGCGUAAAGCGUGCGCAGGCGGUUCGGAAAGAAAGAUGUGAAAUCCCAGAGCUUAACUUUGGAACUGCAUUUUUAACUACCGGGCUAGAGUGUGUCAGAGGGAGGUGGAAUUCCGCGUGUAGCAGUGAAAUGCGUAGAUAUGCGGAGGAACACCGAUGGCGAAGGCAGCCUCCUGGGAUAACACUGACGCUCAUGCACGAAAGCGUGGGGAGCAAACAGG